UGUAUUUCUUACUCCACAUCUAUUUGAUAAUUACUAGUAACUUUGCAGAUUAAGUUUUAAUAGACAAAACAUACAUUGAGUUGGAUUAAACUGUAUCAGCAGCCCACACCAGAAUCCACUGCAGAUAUAAAGACAUCAUACCAACCUUCAAUGCUAACAUAAUUAGGGGAAAAGAAGCCUAUACUUGCUGUACUAAAGAUCCCUAUUUUUUAUCUUAUUUUGGCACUUGCUUUCCACACCUACCUCACUUCCUGUUCCUCACUUCCUUUCCUCCCCUGUCUUCACCACUGAUUGGCUUUUGUUUCCACCCUAAUUACCUGAUUGAGUUCACCUGGUCACUCCUUAUUUAAGACUGCAUUCACUCUUAGUCAGUCUCUUUUACACCUUCACAUGGGGCGGCAGCUGAUUCUCCAACCCAUGUGUGUCUGUUCUGUUAUAUUAUCCAUUAUCAUUUGCCUCACCCCCUUUUGUUAAAUAAAUCUUCGUUGAAUG